GACGAACGCUGGCGGCGUGCUUAACACAUGCAAGUCGAACGGAAAGGCCCUGCUUUUGUGGGGUGCUCGAGUGGCGAACGGGUGAGUAACACGUGAGUAACCUUCCCUUUACUUUGGGAUAACUUCAGGAAACUGGGGCUAAUACCGGAUAGGAGCUCCUGCUGCAUGGUGGGGGUUGGAAAGUUUCGGCGGUUGGGGAUGGACUCGCGGCUUAUCAGCUUGUUGGUGGGGUAGUGGCUUACCAAGGCUUUGACGGGUAGCCGGCCUGAGAGGGUGACCGGCAACAUUGGGACUGAGAUACGGCCCAGACUCCUACGGGAGGCAGCAGUGGGGAAUAUUGCACAAUGGGCGGAAGCCUGAUGCAGCAACGCCGCGUGCGGGAUGACGGCCUUCGGGUUGUAAACCGCUUUCGCCUGUGACGAAGCGUGAGUGACGGUAAUGGGUAAAGAAGCACCGGCUAACUACGUG
rnacentral:rRNA from 1 species